AGCAGUGCAGCCCCACAAUCUGCGUUUGAAAAAAAAAAUAGAAAGAUUUGAUUUGAAAUCAGAGACAUGGGCCCAGGCCCAGAAAAAGAAUAACACUUCAUCCCACCUGAUGGAUGACGCUUCUUUGUUGCUGGAAAGGUUUCAGGCCCUUGGCUCCAGGGGUGUGUUAUUUAUAUCCCGCCCUGGAACUAAAUCAUGGACCUGUGAGGUUCUUCUGCCCAGAUGUAAAGUCACUGAAUCAGCAUCUGCCUGCCUAAAGAGGAUGGAGGCGUUGUUUGAAUUUGUUGUGCAAGGUUGGAGUCAGUCAGAGAAAGUAGCAGCCUCAGCAGCAGAGAUCCCACAGCCUCCUGUAGACAACUCACUGGCCACAUCAAGUUAUUAUGGAGCCCCUGCUCUUCCCAUUCCUUCCCCUUCAGCUCCUAAUCUUGCCAGUCCUACCCCUCCAGCGCCUACCCUUUCCAUUCCUACCCUUCCAGCCCCUACUCUUUCCUUUCCUACCACUCCAGCUCCUACUCUUCCCAUUCCUACCACUCCAGCUCCUACUCUCCCCAUUCCUACCACUCCAGCUCCUACUCUUCCCAUUUCUACCACUCCAGCUCCUACUCUUCCCAUUUCUACCACUCCAGCCCCUUCUCUUUCCAUUCCUACCCUUCCAGUCUCUACUCUUUCCAUUCCUACCACUCCAGCUCCUACUCUUUCCAUUCCUACCCCUCCAGUCUCUACUCUUUCCUUUCCUACCACUCCAGCUUCUACUCUUCCCAUUCCUACCACUCCAGCCCCUACUCUUUCCAUUCCUACCCCUCCAGUCUCUACUCUUUCCAUUCCUACCACUCCAGCUCCUACUCUUUCCAUUCCUACCACUCCAGCUUCUACUCUUCCCAUUCCUACCCCUCCAGCUCCUACUCUUCCCAUUUCUACCACUCCAGCUUCUACUCUUCCCAUUCCUACCACUUCAGCUUCUACUCUUCCCAUUCCUACCCCUCCAGCUCCUACUCUUCCCAUUCCUACCCCUCCAGCUUCUACUCUUCCCAUUCCUACCACUCCAGCUCCUACUCUUUCCAUUCCUACCACUCCAGCUUCUACUCUUCCCAUUCCUACCCCUCCAGCUCCUACUCUUUCCAUUCCUACCACUCCAGCUCCUACUCUUUCCAUUCCUACCACUCCAGCUUCUACUCUUCCCAUUCCUACCCCUCCAGCUCCUACUCUUCCCAUUCCUACCCCUCCAGCUUCUACUCUUCCCAUUCCUACCACUUCAGCUUCUACUCUUCCCAUUCCUACCCCUCCAGCUCAUACUCUUCCCAUUCCUACCACUCCAGCUUCUACUCUUCCCAUUCCUACCCCCCCAGCUCAUAAUCUUGCCAUCCCUGCUCCUGGAGGAAACAAGAGGAAGAAAAAUAAUGAUUGCUCUCACAGCAGCCAGGAAGUAUUCAAGGGAGAUAUUUUGAAGGAACGAGUUAAAGAGGUUGGUCAGCCAUUACCUGAUAUGGAUAAAAACUAGGCAGUAGAACAUUAAAGAAUGGAUGUUAAUGCAAGGGAAGGAAGGAAUACCUUCUGAAAUGGCACCCUUGCAGUUUAUGUGGAAAAAAAUGGAGAAGCACCUGGGUGGAGGAGGAUUCCUUCCUUAUGUAGUGUGUGUGUGUGUGUCUGUGUGAGUGUUUAAUAAACCGU